rnacentral:rRNA from 1 species
GAGUUUGAUCCUGGCUCAGGGACAAACGCUGGUGGUGUGCCUAAUACAUGCAAGUCGAACGAGAAAGUCCCUUCGGGGGCGAGUAAAGUGGCGAACGGGUGAGUAACGCGUAGAUAACAUACCUUCAGGUGGGGGAUAGCCAGUCGAAAGAUUGGAUAAUACCGCAUAUGACCACAGUAUCUGUGGAUACAGGGGUAAAAGAUUUAUCGCCUAAAGAUUGGUCUGCGUCCGAUUAGCUUGUUGGUGGGGUAAAAGCCUACCAAGGCUGUGAUCGGUAGCUGGUCUGAGAGGAUGAUCAGCCACAUUGGGACUGAGACACGGCCCAAACUCCUACGGGAGGCAGCAGUAGGGAAUCUUGCGCAAUGGGGGAAACCCUGACGCAGCGACACCACAUGAGUGAUGAAGGCUCUAGGGUUGUAAAGCUCUGUUCUUGACGAACAAACAAAUGAUUAGUCAAGGAGAAAGGACCGGCUAACUUCGUGCCAGCAGCUGCGGUAAGACGAGGGGUCCAAGCGUUGUCCGGAAUUAUUGGGCGUAAAGCGGGUGUAGGCGGUUUUGCAAGUCAGAAGUGAAAGCCUCAGGCUCAACCUGAGAAGUGCUUUUGAUACUGCAUAACUUGAGUUUGGAAGAGGGCAUGGAAUCCUGGUGUAGGUGGUGAAAUGGCGGUAGAUUUCAGGAGGAUACAAGGCAAAGCGGUUGCUGGUCCAAUACUGACGCUGAGAUCCGAAAGCGUGGGGAGCAACCGGAUUGAUACCUGGUAGUCAAGGGGA